CAUGACUCAGAACUUUACCAGCUGAUGCUACAUUCCCAGGAAAGGUCAGAUGUGGACUGGCAUCUCUCAAAGUUCUUUGUUAGCUUAAGUGUUUCUAGACUGGGCACUUACUGGGAAUAGUCUUUUCUCAAGAAGCUGACCAACUGCUUCACUGAGGCUACUUAAAAUCAAACAAAUUGAGAUAAAAGU